rfam:Triticum aestivum genome assembly, contig: Triticum_aestivum_CS42_TGACv1_scaffold_329222_4BS
CAACUACUCCCUCUGUCCCAAAUUUCUUGUCUUAGAUUUGUCUAGAUACGGAUGUAUCUAAUAAUACUAAAAUGUGACUUGAUACAUCCGUAUCUAGAAAAAUCUAAGACAAGAAUUUUGGGACGGAGGGAGUACUUU